rnacentral:rRNA from 1 species
UACGGAGGGUGCAAGCGUUAAUCGGAAUUACUGGGCGUAAAGGGCGCGUAGGCGGACAGUUUAGUCAGAGGUGAAAGCCCAGGGCUCAACCUCGGAACUGCCUUUGAUACUGCAAAUCUCGAGUCCGGAAGAGGUGAGUGGAAUUCCUAGUGUAGAGGUGAAAUUCGUAGAUAUUAGGAAGAACACCAGUGGCGAAGGCGGCUCACUGGUCCGGUACUGACGCUGAGGUGCGAAAGCGUGGGGAGCAAACAGGG